UUUUCCCUCUCCUGUGACCGGCGCGGUGAGGUGUGGUCUGGCGUGUGUACUUUGAAAACAAAGAGACACGGAAAACAAGGCCAGGCUGCCAUGACUACCCCGAACAUGGCGACUACAACGGGUGGAAAGAAGAAAUCGGCAACGGUGUCCGUCCGUAUAGACUACAAUAUGGCAUGAGGUUUCCCGGGACGCUUCCGGGACCUGGCCCGGCAACUCCGCCAGGCCAUCCCGGGAGCAGAGGUGGUGGGCAAGAUCAUCAGCAAGCCAGGUGCCUUUGAGGUGUACGUGAACAAGAAGCUGUACUAUUCUAUGUUGGAGAAGAGGCAAUUCCCACACAUCAACCAGCUUGUUCGUGAAAUCAAGAAGCACCUGUCUGAGGCGAAAGCCCCCACCACGGACCUUAACAGUUCUGAAGCCCUGCCUACUGUGACGACCAAGCAGCUCUCUCCAGCUUAGAGCAAUGUUCAAACGCAAGCCACACCCCUUUCCGUGAAGCUUGCUGUGUGUCAACGGUCGCUAGAAAUUGACGAGAGGAGACUGGGGAAAAAUGAAGUUAAGCCCUUUAAUGACAGCCUGGUCUGAAGGAGAUAAAUGUCUCAGGAUCAAGCUCGACAAACAUGGGCGAAUACACAUUCUUUCCCUGGACUGCUCUUGAUCAAAAAUACGUUAACAAUUUUUUCUUUGUUUCAUCUAAAUGAGUUGCUUUGGACUUUUGUAUGCUUAUGUGCAUUCCGCAUUCAUGAAUGAUGUCAACGAUAGCUAGAUCAAAGCAAAGUGUGCAAAAACCACAUGUCUAUCAUAUCAGGAUGGAUGUUACCAAAUAGCUGACUCUACCAAAAAGUAUUUGUUCCAUGAUUACAGGUAAAUAGGAACACUGCUCUAGUACACACAUUUGUUUGUGUGAUUUCUUUUCAAGAAAUAAAUCGACAAUAAACACCAAGUCAACUUGUGGAAAAUUUUCUUCCCAUUUUCUCGAGUCAUUACAACUACAGCAAAAAUACUGCAUUUGAGUAAGGCUGUAGUGAGUUGUAGAGAAUCACCCCAGCAAUGGCUACACUCUGUAAUGCACCAUUAUACAUACCUCAGGGGAGUACUGUACCAGGCACAUUUCUGCCUGCCCUAUUGAUAUCUAGUCACAGACAGGCUCCUUGCCUGACACUUAUGUUUUGAUACUUGAUGAAUUUUCAUACAUACAUUUUCAAUGUUAUGCCUCAAUAACACUAGUGCCCUCCAAAUAACAGUACACUUGAGGGCUGGCCUCCUAUAUUGUACAAGUACUAUUAAGGAGCAACUGACAGUAAUGAAUUAUACAAUAUGCAACACCAUACAUGUAUUAUGUAGUAGUAAUUAUAUGAUGGUAUGCACCACCUAGUGUGUUAUUGAUCGAAGUAUAUCAUGAAUGUCUUUUGCUAUUGUAUGUAUAAAAGUGUAGGUUUCAUCACUAAAGACAGUUUCACUACAGUCUACAUGAUGUAAGAUAUUAUAUGCUGUAAGUGCAUAUGAUAUAUACUACAUGUAUGAGAGAACAUUUGAAUAAAUUUACAAAAUGUAUCCACUAGAAGUUUCCACAGUGGGGAUGAGCUUGGGGAGGCCCAUUACUGCUAAUUACAUUUUACAGUCUGUUUGAACCAACAUUAACACA